rnacentral:rRNA from 1 species
UACGUAGGGUGCAAGCGUUGUCCGGAAUUAUUGGGCGUAAAGAGCUCGUAGGCGGUCUGUCGCGUCUGCUGUGAAAACUCAGGGCUUACCUACGCGAGCUUGCAGUGGGUACGGUACGAGACUAGAGUGCGGUAGGGGAGACUGGAAUUCCUGGUGUAGCGGUGAAAUGCGCAGAUAUCAGGAGGAACACCGGUGGCGAAGGCGGGUCUCUGGGCCGGAACUGACGC